UGGGGAAUAUUGGACAAUGGGCGAAAGCCUGAUCCAGCGACGCCGCGUGGGUGAUGAAGGCCUUCGGGUUGUAAAGCCCUGUGGGCAGGGAAGAAAAUGGUGAGUGCUAAUAUCACUCGCACUUGACGGUACCUGCUCAGAAAGCACCGGCUAACUCUGUGCCAGCAGCCGCGGUAAGACAGAGGGUGCAAACGUUGCUCGGAAUUACUGGGCGUAAAGCGCGUGUAGGCGGAUCGGAAAGUCGGGCGUGAAAUCCCCAGGCUCAACCUGGGAACUGCACUCGAAACUCCCGGUCUUGAGUGGUGGAGAGGGAAGUGGAAUUCCUGGUGUAGAGGUGAAAUUCGUAGAUAUCAGGAGGAACACCAGUGGCGAAGGCGGCUUCCUGGACACCAACUGACGCUGAGACGCGAAAGCGUGGGGAGCAAACAGGAUUAGAUACCCCCGUAGUCC
rnacentral:rRNA from 1 species